rnacentral:rRNA from 1 species
GAUGAACGCUGGCGGCGUGCCUAAUACAUGCAAGUCGAGCGAACAGACGAGGAGCUUGCUCCUCUGACGUUAGCGGCGGACGGGUGAGUAACACGUGGAUAACCUACCUAUAAGACUGGGAUAACUUCGGGAAACCGGAGCUAAUACCGGAUAAUAUAUUGAACCGCAUGGUUCAAUAGUGAAAGACGGUUUUGCUGUCACUUAUAGAUGGAUUCGCGCCGCAUUAGCUAGUUGGUAAGGUAACGGCUUACCAAGGCAACGAUGCGUAGCCGACCUGAGAGGGUGAUCAGCCACACUGGAACUGAGACACGGUCCAGACUCCUACGGGAGGCAGCAGUAGGGAAUAUUCCGCAAUGGGCGAAAGCCUGACGGAGCAACGCCGCGUGAGUGAUGAAGGUCUUCGGAUCGUAAAACUCUGUUAUUAGGGAAGAACAAAUGUGUAAGUAACUAUGCACGUCUUGACGGUACCUAAUCAGAAAGCCACGGCUAACUACGUG